rnacentral:rRNA from 1 species
CCUACGGGUGGCAGCAGUGGGGGAUAUUGCACAAUGGGGGGAACCCUGAUGCAGCGACGCCGCGUGAGCGAAGAAGUACCUCGGUAUGUAAAGCUCUAUCAGCAGGGAAGAAAAUGACGGUACCUGACUAAGAAGCCCCGGCUAAAUACGUGCCAGCAGCCGCGGUAAUACGUAUGGGGCAAGCGGUAUCCGGAUUUACUGGGGGCAAAGGGAGCGCCGGCGGGCUGCCAAGUCAGGUGGGAAAACCGGGGGCCGAAACCCGGUCCCGCAGUUGAAACUGGCGGGCUUGAGUGGCGGAGGGGUAGGCGGAAUGCGUGGUGUAGCGGUGAAAUGCGUAGAUAUCAGGAAGAACACCGGUUGCGAAGGCAGCGUACUGGA